rnacentral:lncRNA from 1 species
CCAGUUCCACCCAUAAUCCUUUUCUCUUUUUUCUCUCUUCUCUCUCUCUUCACCCUCUCUUCGCCGCCUCUAUGCCGCCGCCGAAAAUCGCCCACCGGCGGCGGACCACCUCCAAACACCCCCAAAUUUACACUAUAUAAUUUCCACAACUUCCUCUUUCCAUAUCUCCAAAUCAAAUCCUUCAAAAAAACCCCUCAAUCUCCUUGAAUCUUAGAUCUAGAAAACUUUCCCGUCACUUUUUUGCCCAAAUUCUUGAAGCUCCAACCACUACCACCCCACAAUACCUACAUUAACGGAUAGAACUCCUCAAGACCUAGCUAUUGAUGCCAAUUUCACACUAAAAUCCGACGACCAAAAUCCGAACAAAUUUUGGCGGCCUUCCCGAACACCCUCUUUUGGCAUACUACCAUUUUUUCGGCCACUUGAAUUGUAAAAUGGUAAAAAUCCUAUUCUUUUUCAUGGCUGAUUUUUUAUUUUAUUUUUAUUUUUCAGAUUUUAUUUUGUCUAUUAUUAAUUAUUUUAGCAUUAGUUUUUGAUGUUUGAAAUGUUAAAUUUUUUUGUUUUUGCACUUGCUGAAGUAGUAAAAUAGCUUUCUAUUGCCUAUUUAAGGGGCUUCCCUUUCCUCAUUAUAGGGGGGGGACUCCAUUACACUUCCAUAGAGCUUUUAGAAUUACUUUGAACAUACAAAAACAUAAAAAAAAAUUCAGCAGUUGAACACAUGAAAAAUAAGCUGAAAUGGUGAGCUUUAGGAGUAAAUCUUAGAGUGCAAACUUUUUAGAAAAGUAUAAGUCUUCUUUAGAGUUCGUUUCUGGGUUUUUCUCUAAGUUUUCGGGCUGUUUUAACACGGAUUUGCUACUGGUUCUCUGCUGUUUUGCUGCUGUUUUUAUGUUGCUUUAGUUGCUGAACUACUGUUUAUUCUUUUUCUAUCCAGUUAAUCCUUUAAGACUUGUAAUGUAUGUAUUUUCAGCAAUGGGAACAACUUGAACAUGCUGCACCAUUUAAAUGUGUUUGAUGUGAUAAAUAGUUCGACAACAAAAGAGCUUUGUAUGUUAUUGUUAGGUAUCAAGCAUGUGAUAAUGUGAAUAUAGUCCUUCAUAAUACUUGAAUAUUAAGUUGUAAGUUUUUUUGAAUGUGAUAUGUUAGUCGUUUAUGGAUUUUUAAGCAUGUUUUCAAGCUAUUGUAUCUGAGUAACAAUGCUAAGUAUGCCAUGAAUGACUUUAAGUGUAUAACACAUAGCAUGAGUUCGUUUUAGUUGCUGAAAUUUCACUGCCAAUAUAUGCUUCUAGGAAUGUUGUGAUAAUAUCUUUGUGAAUCUGGCCAUUUUGCCGGAUUUGCAAAAGUGGCUAUUUUUGUAAAGUGGGCGUUUAUACAAUUGUGACUAUGUAGUUAAUGGUCAUGAACGCAAACUAAGUAAAGAGCA